rnacentral:rRNA from 1 species
GUGGAUUAGAUACCCUGGUAGUCCACGCCCUAAACGAUGUCUACUAGUUGUCGGGUCUUAAUUGACUUGGUAACGCAGCUAACGCGUGAAGUAGACCGCCUGGGGAGUACGGUCGCAAGAUUAAAACUCAAAGGAAUUGACGGGGACCCGCACAAGCGGUGGAUGAUGUGGAUUAAUUCGAUGCAACGCGAAAAACCUUACCUACCCUUGACAUGGAAGGAAUCCCUGAGAGAUUGGGGAGUGCUCGAAAGAGAACCUUUACACAGGUGCUGCAUGGCCGUCGUCAACU